rnacentral:rRNA from 1 species
UACGUAGGGUGCAAGCGUUAAUCGGAAUUACUGGGCGUAAAGCGUGCGCAGGCGGUUUUGUAAGUUUGUCGUGAAAGCCCCGGGCUCAACCUGGGAAUGGCGAUGGAGACUGCAAGGCUUGAAUCUGGCAGAGGGGGGUAGAAUUCCACGUGUAGCAGUGAAAUGCGUAGAGAUGUGGAGGAACACCGAUGGCGAAGGCAGCCCCCUGGGUCAAGAUUGACGCUCAUGCACGAAAGCGUGGGGAGCAAACAGG